rnacentral:rRNA from 1 species
GACGAACGCUGGCGGCGUGCUUAACACAUGCAAGUCGAACGGAAAGGCCCUGCUUGCAGGGUACUCGAGUGGCGAACGGGUGAGUAACACGUGGGUGAUCUGCCCUGCACUUCGGGAUAAGCCUGGGAAACCGGGUCUAAUACCGGAUAGGAGCCAUUUUUAGUGUGAUGGUUGGAAAGUUUUUUCGGUGUAGGAUGAGCUCGCGGCCUAUCAGCUUGUUGGUGGGGUAAUGGCCUACCAAGGCGGCGACGGGUAGCCGGCCUGAGAGGGUGGACGGCCACAUUGGGACUGAGAUACGGCCCAGACUCCUACGGGAGGCAGCAGUGGGGAAUAUUGCACCAGGGGCGCAAGCCUGAUGCAGCGACGCCGCGUGGGGGAUGACGGCCUUCGGGUUGUAAACUCCUUUCGCUAGGGACGAAGCUUUUUGUGACGGUACCUAGAUAAGAAGCACCGGCUAACUACGUG